rnacentral:rRNA from 1 species
GGGUGAGUAAUGCAUACUUAACGUGCCCCGGAGAGGGGAAUAGCCGCCCGAAAGGGCGAUUAAUCCCCCAUAGGAGCCCCGACCAAGAAGGACGGGGCUUUAAAGGAGAAAUCCGCCCCGGGAUUGGAGUAUGUUCUAUUAGCUUGUUGGCGGGGUAAAAGCCCACCAAGGCGAUGAUAGAUAGCUGGUCUAAGAGGAUGAACAGCCACAAUGGGAUUGAGAUACGGCCCAUAUUCCUACGGGAAGCAGCAGUAGGGAAUCUUCCACAAUGGGCGAAAGCCUGAUGGAGCAAUGCCAUGUGAACGAUGAAGGUCUUUUUGAUCGUAAAGUUCUUUUAGGGGGGAAGACCACGACGGUACCCCUUGAAUAAGUGACAGCAAACUAUGUGCCAGCAGCUGCGGUAAUACAUAGGUCGCGAGCGUUAUUCGGAUUUAUUGGGCGUAAAGCAAGCGCAGGCGGAUGAAUAAGUUCUAUGUUAAAUACAGCUGCUCAACAGUUGUUUGCGUCGAAUACUGUUCAUCUAGAAUGUGGUAGGCGGUUUUGGAAUUGAAUAUGGAGCGGUGGAAUGUGUAGAUAUAUUCAAGAACACCAGAGGCGAAGGCGAAAACCGAGGCCACUAUUGACGCUUAGGCUUGAAAGUGUGGGGAGCAAAUGGGAUUAGAUACCCCAGUAGUCCACACCGUAAACGAUGGAUAUUAGAUGUUGGGGUCUGUGCCUCAGCGUUGUAGCUUACGUGUUAAAUAUCCCGCCUGGGUAGUACAUAUGCAAAUAUGAAACUCAAAGGAAUUGACGGGGACCUGAACAAGUGGUGGAACAUGUUGCUUAAUUCGAUAAUACACGAAAAACCUUACCAAGAUUUGACAUCUCCCGCGAAGCCAUAGAAAUAUGGUUAUAGGUUAUCGGGAUGACAGGUGGUGCAUGGUUGUCGUCAGCUCGUGUCAUGAGAUGUUUGGUUAAGUCCCGCAACGAGCGCAACCCUACUCUUUAGUUACUUGUCUAAAGAGACUGAACAGUAAUGUAUAGGAAGGUUGGGAUCACGUCAAAUCAUCAUGCCCCUUAUGUCUUGGGCCGCAACGUGUUACAAUGGCGAGUACAAUGUGCUGCAAGCCGGCGACGGUAGCCAAUCACUAAACUCGUCUCAGUCCGGAUAAAAGGCUGCAAUUC